rnacentral:rRNA from 1 species
CGUCAAAUCAUCACGCCCCUUAUGACCUGGGCUACACACGUGCUACAAUGGAUGGUACAAAGAGCAGCAAAACCGCGAGGUCGAGCAAAUCCCAUAAAACCAUUCUCAGUUCGGAUUGUAGGCUGCAACUCGCCUACAUGAAGCUGGAAUCGCUAGUAAUCGCGGAUCAGCAUGCCGCGGUGAAUACGUUCCUGGGCCUU